UUUCACGGUGGCCGGUAGAAGCUGUUUGCUGCUUGGUUCAGGCCUCUGUGGACGUCUGGGGUCUGCUGGGAUGUUUCAAUUCUAUGCAUGGUGUGUACGCUGGAAACUCAACUUCCAUGUGUUAAGAAGAGGAAACUGAAGCUUAGAAAAAGGAUCAGUAACUUCCCCAAGGCUACACAGCUAAGAGAAGUUGGAUUCUCCUCAUGGCUUUGACUGACCAGCUCAGUAUCCUUUAAGGCACAACCUGAAUUCUCUGGACCCUUCUUAAAUGAGAGGGCUGGACUACAUGAUCACCAAGACUGUUCCAAAGGUCAGUUCCUACAGUCUCUAUACUUUGUGGAUUCAGUCUUUGAGCCUAGCUCACUUAUUCAAUUUCCUAAAUAUAAUGCUUUCU